rnacentral:rRNA from 1 species
GGUUAAGCGACUAAGCGUACACGGUGGAUGCCCUGGCAGUCAGAGGCGAUGAAGGGCGUGCUAAUCUGCGAUAAGCGCCGGUAAGGUGAUAUGAACCGUUAUAACCGGCGAUACCCGAAUGGGGAAACCCAGUGUGAUUCGUCACACUAUCAUUAACUGAAUCCAUAGGUUAAUGAGGCGAACCGGGGGAACUGAAACAUCUAAGUACCCCGAGGAAAAGAAAUCAACCGAGAUUCCCCCAGUAGCGGCGAGCGAACGGGGAGGAGCCCAGAGCCUGAAUCAGCAUGUGUGUUAGUGGAAGCGUCUGGAAAGGCGCGCGAUACAGGGUGACAGCCCCGUACACAAAAGCGCAUGUGCUGUGAGCUCGAUGAGUAGGGCGGGACACGUGGUAUCCUGUCUGAAUAUGGGGGGACCAUCCUCCAAGGCUAAAUACUCCUGACUGACCGAUAGUGAACCAGUACCGUGAGGGAAAGGCGAAAAGAACCCCGGCGAGGGGAGUGAAAAAGAACCUGAAACCGUGUACGUACAAGCAGUGGGAGCACCCUUUGGGUGUGACUGCGUACCUUUUGUAUAAUGGGUCAGCGACUUAUAUUCUGUAGCAAGGUUAACCGAAUAGGGGAGCCGGAGGGAAACCGAGUCUUAACCGG